UUUCUCGCUUCAUCCGCCAUCUUCCUCUGUGUUCGCUAUGGCGUCUUGUACUUCUACCCAACGUUGCCCCUCAGCCCCCCAGCCCCCGAGCUCACUGCCCUCGGCCCGCAUCUCCGGAUGCUUCCUCCGGGACUGCGGGAUACGGAGCCUGCCGCCUAGGAACCCGAUUUCUCCGUCUCGUCCAUGGAAGCACGGGUCAUAGUGGCCGCAUGCGCAGUGCUAACUCAGCGGCCCGCGCCUUUUGACCGCUGUUGUGGUGGAGAUUGUGGUGAGGAAGGAGACCAGAAGAUGACGACGACAAUGACACAGCAGAAGGGCCGGGUUACACUUGGGCUUCUUUCUUUGAAGUCUGAGAAGACAGUCUGUCAGGCCGAGCUCAUUACACUAAGGUCCAUGUAACCAGUGAAGCGGCCAUUAUACAUGAUUUGGUCUACAGUUGUUGGGUAAGCUUAAGGAUUAAGAACCCUUUUCCUAAGUAGUAUAGCAGAAAUUCAGGUUUGCAUAGUGACUAGCCAUCACCUCCACAAUUCAUGCCUGAACUGUGUGCUUGAUUAGUUAGCUGUUAAUAUCUGGGGCAAAGGUGCUUGCCAAGUGGCUUGGUUAGUAUUUGCCCUUUGAAGACCAUUGCAUGAGUACAAUCAAACACUGGUCCAUGAUGAAACCCAUUAUCAGUGGACAUCUGUGGAUGAGAAAUGCGGAUAUGGGACUGAGACCAGUUCUUAGGAAAGCCUGACUUGGGGAUUGAGUCUGAAGGUGGAAAUAACAGUCUUGUACUUGCUUUUCAGAAAAGCUCCACAAGGGGAUCUCCUGGAAGCCAUUGCAAUCAGAGCUAGAGUCAAAUCAAGGCCAGCCUGGGCUACGUGGAAGAACCUCAUUUUGGAAAAGUGAAAUGCUUAACAUGCAAUUGGUUCAAUGACUUUUGGAAAG
rnacentral:lncRNA from 1 species